UGUCAACCAGCCCUGCCACCAACACCAACGAGGGGGCACAGACUGAGACAGAGGAGGCUCUUCUGUCAACCAGCCCUGCCACCAACACCAACGAGGGGGCACAGACUGAGACAGAGGAGGCUCUUCUGUCAACCAGCCCUGCCACCAACACCAACGAGGGGCUAAAAAAGGACAAAACCCCCAAAAGACGCCAAAGGACAAAAGUUUCUAAAAAAGAAAAGGAUUGUCCACACAACAGCCAGGAGGUGCACGCAUAUAGAUGCGUGAUCAAAACUAG